UAAAAAUCAAAAUAUGUUAAUAUUGAAAGGAAUCUGCUAAUUUAUUCCUGAGCUGGAGAGAGAGGAUUGAGCUCGUGGAGGCCACUGUGUUACCCAUUUUAAUAUCCAGCCAGUAGAGGCUGUGUAACCUCUAAAGGACAGAGAAGGGAAUUGACUCUGCCAUCCAUGAGCCAAGAAAGUUUCAUGAGAUGUGCCCAGAAUGGCUGGGGAGAGGAGUGCCCAUUUUCUACCAGUGGCAGCAACCCCGUCAUGUUUUUCUAGUGGAAGCUACGUUUAUCAAGUAGAAUUCAGGAGAUAGAACUGGCAUCAUGUAACCAGGCACCUCUCUCCAUGGAUCACUAUCAACUGGUCUGCAGUUCACAGAGCACUGGACUGGGACUCAGGUGACCCC